GACGAACGCUGGCGGCGUGCUUAACACAUGCAAGUCGAACGGUAAGGCCCUUCGGGGUACACGAGUGGCGAACGGGUGAGUAACACGUGGGUGACCUGCCCUGCACUUCGGGAUAAGCCUGGGAAACUGGGUCUAAUACCGGAUAGGACUCCUGGCUUCAUGGUUGGGGGUGUAAAGCUUUUGCGGUGUGGGAUGGGCCCGCGGCCUAUCAGCUUGUUGGUGGGGUAAUGGCCUACCAAGGCGACGACGGGUAGCCGGCCUGAGAGGGUGACCGGCCACACUGGGACUGAGAUACGGCCCAGACUCCUACGGGAGGCAGCAGUGGGGAAUAUUGCACAAUGGGCGCAAGCCUGAUGCAGCGACGCCGCGUGAGGGAUGAC
rnacentral:rRNA from 1 species